CCCUUAGAGUUUGAUCCUGGCUCAGGAUGAACGCUAGCUACAGGCUUAACACAUGCAAGUCGAGGGGCAGCAUGGUCUUAGCUUGCUAAGACUGAUGGCGACCGGCGCACGGGUGAGUAACACGUAUCCAACCUGCCGUCUACUCUUGGACAGCCUUCUGAAAGGAAGAUUAAUACAAGAUGGCAUCAUGAGUCCGCAUGUUCACAUGAUUAAAGGUAUUCCGGUAGACGAUGGGGAUGCGUUCCAUUAGAUAGUAGGCGGGGUAACGGCCCACCUAGUCUUCGAUGGAUAGGGGUUCUGAGAGGAAGGUCCCCCACAUUGGAACUGAGACACGGUCCAAACUCCUACGGGAAGCAGCAGUGAGGAAUAUUGGUCAAUGGGCGAGAGCCUGAACCAGCCAAGUAGCGUGAAGGAUGACUGCCCUAUGGGUUGUAAACUUCUUUUAUAAAGGAAUAAAGUCGGGUAUGGAUACCCGUUAGCAUGUACUUUAUGAAUAAGGAUCGGCAACUCU
rnacentral:rRNA from 1 species